rnacentral:misc_RNA from 1 species
UGAGAGAUUGAAAGCUACUUUUGGAAGAGCGGGGAGGUUGCCUGUUGAAUGUGCGACAUGCCCGCUGAUAGCUUAAAACAAGACACACUCGUGUUGCGCCUCUGGCCGGCGUCGGAGGAUAACGGCAACUGGACGAGUGUACCUGGGUUUGUACCCUGGGUUUGUUUCU